CUACGGAGCCACGCACUUGGUGGUAAAGUCAAUGGAUUUUAUGCAGUUUGAUCCAAGGCCAGGAAACUUCAAGAAGAACUGAUAACAUCUCUCUCAUAUUUUCAAAGGGGCAUCAUACCUUACCACUGUGGUGUACUGAAAAGUAUUUGAAAGAGGCCAUUACUUAAGAAGAUCCCCAUUUCGGAGACAUUAAAAUGUGAAAAUGUGUCUUAGAAUCAAAAUAUGUGAUUUUGCUUCAUGUGCUCAUAUGGAAAUUACCAGCAAAAUGCCUCUCCUAUGUAGAACCAGGAGGCACCUACACCAGCGCACCAAGCUAGCUUGCCUAUGGCUUUCAAUGUUGAAAUGAUUCAGCUUUAACUCACGGAGCUUGUAAUCUAUUAGAAUAUAUGAAGGCAAAAAUGCAAUAAAAACCAAAGACUAUAAUACAAAGCAGAAUGUGAUAUAUAUACCACAAUUGAGGAAAAAAUUAAGAAUGAUAUAGGACGACACAGAACGGAGGAUUGAUUCUGAUUGGAGCAGGGGACAUUUUAACUGUCAAUUCAGAAGGCAGAGACUGGGGAAGAAACACCUGGAUGAAGAACAUUUCUGUAUGUCCAGGGAUCUGCUGCAAGUGGGAAGCAGGACAUGUACCUGGAGUGUGCCUGCCUCGGUGACAAGUUCUCCACAUCCUAAUGACAAGAUGCUUUUGUGACCCAGAUUCCACAUGUCCCGUCCACUGAGGCAGCUCCACUCUGCAGAAGUAACAUUUACUUUUCUUCGUUGCCUUAGGGCAUUAAUACAUUGGUUUGGGCUCCUCCUGUUUUCCCGAGUUUUAAAAAUUUCACAAUCACACACAUGUAGAAUAGGCUCCUUAAUAGUCACGUUUCCUCCUCUGUAAUAUGAGGAGAAAGUCCCUACUUAAUAGGAUUCUUUGAAUAAUAUGUUGGUAAAAACCCUGGAACUAAGCACUUAGUGCACGUUAGGGUUAGAGCGGCACCCCAAAGUGACCAUGGAAGGACUGGUGUGUCAGAAAUGUCCUGAGUCUGCCAGCUCACUCAUUUUUACUAUCUUAGAGAAUCCUUAUGAGAACCUGCAUAAAAAAGGAAACAGCAGUCAUAAAAGAAACAAAGAGACACUCUAUCAAUAGCUCAGAAAGCUUCCCCACAAGCCCCAAUAUACCCGAGAGCGUUGGUAUCCAGACUGCACAAUGCAGUCACGCCCAGACGUCUAUGUAAGGCCAUUCCAUCAGGAACCCCUCCAAAUCAGAAAAAGUCCAGGCAUCACCUCCAUUUUAAAGAAUUAGGUUGCCAUGUCAUCUUAAUAAAGUAUCCCACUUUAACCAAGGAACAUUCAUAUUUUGUU